GAAAGAAGGCAGGAGAAAUAAAAGAGUGAAAUUUGUUUCACGUCUCCUUCAUUUUAGGGCUUAGCCCACAGUCCAUUGAAGCUGGUGGUUCACAAGCAAAGCUUGGCUAAGGAUGGCCAGAGAGAGUCGGACAUGGCUGUAAAGUUCUGCUUCUUUUCUGACUUGGCUGGAACUGGUGGCAAGAUCAUACGUUGUCACUAAUGGCCCUGUGGCAGCAGAGGCUAAGACACCUACUGUGGAAGACAACCCUGCAGCCUCGGCUGCCUGCCACGUGUUUUGGAGGUGUAGGUAUCAAUGGACAGCCUGGGCAGCCACAGUAUUAGUUGCUGUGGCGCCCGCUUCCUGUCUCUAACACCCGUAAUUAGAGACAAGCCCAGGAGGAGAAACAAGACUGAUUCCUUGAAGAGCUCAUCUGGAGGAUCAGAAAGGACAGAGUGGAUGGCUUUGGUGCAAGCUCUGAGCUUGGCACUCUCUGGAGCUGGGUCAGGCAGAAGGAAGCGUGGAGGUACUAGUCAUGCUCUUCUGCUGCUUUUCCUCAGUCAGCUUGCUACUUGCACAUUCCUUAAUAUUCUCUAUACUGCCAGAAGCAUGUGGUAUUUUUCAGUGAACCUCCUCCGGUGACAAACGUAAUCCAACGGACAGGCAGAAGAAACUGUCAUGAGUUCCUUUCAGCUGCCGUGUGGGUUGUGUUUAGCAGGUACUGAGAGAGCCAGCAUGUGCUGUUGCCUUCAGCGUCUCUCGUGCAGCUGGGCUGACACACAGCCACUCUCCAAAAACCCUUCCUGUUUUCCAGGGUUUUCUCUACCAGGAAAAGUCCCUUUAUUAUUAUGACUCUUUUGGUUUUACAUAUUCUUUUAUUUCUUAUGGGUUUAUCUAGAAGAGACAAGUUGAGGGAUAGCUCCAGGAAGGCACUUAAACCUCUACCAUCUAAAUACAGUGUCUGAAAGAGCGUUAAAUCUCUUGGAGGGCAGGUAUAAGAAAUCCACAUGCUUAGCAAGGAGCUAUCUGGAAACUGUCACUAGGAGACCUUGUAUGGGUGUAUCUGAAACCCCCCCAUUCCUGGAGAUGAUGUAAAGCUUCACCUGGGUCCUUCAUCCUGGGUCCAGACCUGUCUCGUAGGGGUGGGCACUAACAGCGCUUGUGAGCAGGACUGCUUCUGCCAGGAUAGGUGCUGCCUUUGCUGUCAUAGUCUCCUAGUGAGUGCAGUCCUGCGUCGAGUGGGAGACUUGCUUUCAAUUUUCCUUUCAGGCCAAGGAGAUCUGCCUCUCCCAUCCCUGGAGGAGAGCCGGCUUGCACACUGCUCUCCGAGCUCCUUCUCUCCUGUUCGGACUGCCUCAUGGACUGGAAAGAAGUGGAAGAUCCAUGGGGCCAGAGGAAAAGCAAGCAAGGGAGAAUGGCCUCUUGGCUAGUGGUUAAGAGAGGGGAACUGGGGGUUCAGGUCUCAGCUCCAAGGUCUGCCUAUUCAUUUUGUGUCAUGCAGUCAGGAAAAGGCUUUAUGAUGUUUGUAUUUAGGUCUGAAUGGGGAGGGCACUUGAUUGAUUUACUCUAGUGACGUGUUUCUCUUUGUUGUAUCAAUAAAGAUAUUUGCACAGAAUGCAUGUGAA